rnacentral:rRNA from 1 species
CUGGCUCAGGAUGAACGCUAGCGGCAGGCUUGACACAUGCAAGUCGAGGGGCAGCGCGGGUAGCAAUACCUGGCGGCGACCGGCGAAAGGGUGAGUAACGCGUGAGCAACGUGCCCGUAUGUGGGGGAUAGUCGAUGGAAACGUCGCGUAAUACCCCGUAACACAAAUUCCCGCAUGAGGAUUUGUUGAAAGAUUUAUGCAUACGGAUCGGCUCGCGUGCCAUUAGGUAGACGGCGGGGUAACGGCCCACCGUGCCGACGAUGGCUAGGGGUUCUGAGAGGAAGGUCCCCCCACAUUGGAACUGAGACACGGUCCAGACUCCUACGGGAGGCAGCAGUGAGGAAUAUUGGACAAUGGCCGGAAGGCUGAUCCAGCCAUGCCGCGUGCGGGAAGAACCGGCCCUAUGGGUUGUAAACCGCUUUUGCGAGGGAGCAAUAAGGGCAACGUGUUGUCCGAUGAGAGUACCUCGCGAAUAAGCAUCGGCUAACUCCGUGCCAGCAGCAGC